rnacentral:rRNA from 1 species
UACGUAGGGUGCAAGCGUUAAUCGGAAUUACUGGGCGUAAAGCGUGCGUAGACGGUAGCGUAAGUCGGGUGUGAAAGCCCCGGGCUCAACCUGGGAAUUGCAUUCGAGACUGCUCUGCUAGGGUGCGGAAGAGGGAAGCGGAAUUUCCGGUGUAGCGGUGAAAUGCGUAGAUAUCGGAAGGAACACCAGUGGCGAAAGCGGCUUCCUGGUCCAGCACCGACGUCAGGCACGAAAGCGUGGGGAGCAAACAGG